CAGAGACAGAUGAAGGAGUGAGAGGGAGAAAGAGGAGAGUGGAAAAGGCAGAAUGCAUUUACAGGGUCUCAGGUAGUCCAAGUUUGCCUCAAACUUACUAUCAAGGCAAGGAUGACAUUGAAUUCUUAAUUUUCCUGACUCUACCUUUCAAUUUCUGGUUUGCAGAUAUCUGUAUGAAGUACUUAAAUGUAAUUUAUGCGUGUGCUGAUAUGUUUUUUCAUCAAUUUGACAAAAGCUAGAGUCCUCCAGGAAGAGGGAACCUCAGCUGAGAAAAUGUGUCCAUCAGAUUGCCCUGU